CAUUUCUCUACUUUACUCUUUCUUCCACAGCCCUAGAACCCAAUCUUCUACUGUUUCCAUCACUAUUUCUUAAAUCUAAGAAGAAUUUUUAUUUCUUUUUAUAGAAAGUUUAAAAGGGUUUCAUGGAUUACUUCAAGUUUCUACCUACGGAGAUUCUAAGUCGACAUUCUAAGUCGACUACCUACUCAAUUGGUUCUUGAAUCCAAAUUGGUUUGCACAAAUUGAAGAAAUGUUGUUUCUCAUCCAUCAUUUUCGAAGUUGCACUUGCAUCAUUCAAUAAUCCUUCUGCUGAUGAUGAUUCUGGUAUGUUAACAUUUCUUGCUUCUACUUAUGAUAUUAAUUUUAAUAAAAAUCUUCAUUAUAUUGAAUAUGAUCAGAAUGAUGAAUCAACUCCCAUUCAGAGAAUCAGAAGAGUUAAUUUAACCCCCCCAGUUAAGAAUUUUAGUUUUAUUGGUUCAUUUAAUGGGUUGAUCUGUCUUGCUGAAGGCCUAUCAGUAUGUAUUUGUAACCCCAUCACCAGAGAGUAUGUGACGGUUUCAGAAAUUAAGAGAAACUGGUGUGAUAUUGAACGGUAUAGUUACGCGAGCAGCAGCUUCGGGUAUGUUUCUUCGAGCGAUGAGUACAAAAUUGUAGGAAUAUAUUUGUCGAAGACCAAUGUAGAAGUCCACAUUUACACUCUAGGCUCUGGCAAUGGAUGGAGAAACCUUGGGAAGUUUAAUUUUCAAUUCAAUUUCUAUAUUUUGGAUGUAGCUGGUGUCUUUGCUAAUGGGGCACUUCAUUGGCUGGAUGAUAAAUUAGGAAAAAUCGUCACCUUCAAUUUGGAUGAGGAGAAGUUUUGUGAACAUCUUUCAGCACCUCCUUCGCCACCAGAGAGUAGUUGGUAGUAUAGCAGAAUAGGGGUUUUGGAUGGGUUUUUGUUUUAUUCUAUUAGGCUAGUUCUCCAAGGAACUGAAGGUUUUGAGACAUGGUUACUAAAAAGGAAGAAUGAUCAGCCUGACAUGAAUGAGAGAGACCAACGUCCGUCAUUGGGUUGGAGUAAAGAGUUUAGAUUGACGGUAGCGAACUAUUAGCGGUUACGAAGACCGACUGUGUUCUAACUUAUGUUGAUAGCCAUCUCCGCAUUUACCACACAAAAGCUUCAACUUCGAAAAUUCUUGUAGAGUUGAACGGAACGUUUUGUAAAGUAUUUCCUCACAAGAACACGUUCGCUUCAUUGAAAGCAUUAGGGGUAGAAGAUACACAUUCAAUGGAGUCAGUUGAAGGAGACAGAAAUCCGUGAUGAAUCUUUGAAGCAGCUAUUGAGGAGGCGGACCCUGAAUACAAUCUUAUCAACUGGUAUUCUUCAUUGAGUUUUUAAAGUAAUAUUCGUAUAGUUCUACUAGGGUGGAAGUUAUUGGCAUGGUCUUACUGAGUUAUGUAUUAUAAGUUACUUCUUAUCCUUUAUAUCAUUGGUUUAACUUUAUAGUUGUUUUCUUUAUUCGGGUUAAUCUGUGUUGCUUUGUGAAUUGUUCAUUUUUUUAGUGACUCAACCUUAUUUCAAUGGAAACAUGUGAUGGGUAUGUUAGUGAUUUAUUUUGUUUAUUUAUACAUGGGAUGGAAGUCAAAUAAGUAUUUGCAGGCAAAAUUAAGGAAAUGGCAGCUUUUUCAGUACUAGGGAGUACUUCUUACAUUAUCUGAUUGAUAAUUUUAGGGAUCCAUAUUUAUACUUUUCCAUAUUUUCAUCCUGUGCUGUGGUACGAAUUAUGUUAGUGUUACAGUCACUAGUUGAUUAGGAAACUGCACUGUGAGUUUGUCUAUGUUCGUCAAUAAAUUUCACGACAGCAGUUGAGUUGAGUAGGCAGAGUUCUCUGUAAUAAUAUCAUAUGAUUUACGUUUCAAAUCUGCCGUUUAGCACACCAACCUAAUUGGUUUGCCAUCAAAUGAUUCUACGUUUCUGUAUCCGUAGGAAGGAUCAACUCGCAAGCUACCUUGCAGACUGCUAGCAUGAUUUUAUUUUGGGUCAAUGUGGAUAGAACUUAGAACACAUUGAUGCAAGUCAAAGCACUUGACCAUUCUAGUUAUGGAAAAAAACACGCGUUCUUCUUUUUGAUUUUUGUUUUUUCCAUUACAUCAAGCUUUGAUUCUGAUUCUUAGUAAGUUAUGCAUUUCAAGUUACUUUCUAUUCUGUCUUUAUAUCAUGGAUCCAAUUAACUUUAUAGUAGUGUUCUUUUUAUUGUGUUGCUUUGUGAAUUGUGCAUUUUGUUAGUGACCCAACCUUAUCUCAAUGGAAGAUGUGAUGCAUAGGUAAGUGAUUUAUUUUGUUCUAGGAUCACUGAAGAGUCGUUGAGCUUCAAAAACAUGGGAACUGAUAACUUGAAGCUCAAAACUACACUUUUAUAUGAAAUCUUGGUUCUUGAUAGGGAAAAUUUAUAAAAUCCGGCUACUUCGAAGAGCUAAGAAAAACUCGCUUAUUGCAUUAAAAGGCAAGCACACAACUCCCAUUAUAGAGCCAACAAUAUUUUUGCCUCCAAAUCCUGUCAUUUGAGAGUUACCAGACUCGGAGAAAACUGAGGCAGGAAAAACUUGGCAUUGUAUUUCUAUUUUUUUCAGAUGCUAGUUCUGCAUUUAGGAUCUUUUGGUGCUGAUUUUAUUUGGUUUCCUCUAAAUUGCUAUACUUAGAAGUCAUUCUCAAGCAGAGUUCGGUAUCUUUCUUCAACAAAGCUCCUCACCUGAAGGUACGGGCAAGGACAAGAGCUGUCAAGAGUGCCAGAGCGGAAUCUCUUCUUCUUCUUCUUCUUCUUGUUAUACUUGCCAAAAACCUGCUAUUCCUGCACAAAAAUGGCUCACAUUAUCAGGGGAAGGACCAAUAGUAACAGCAAGGGGUGGAUUUUCAGGGCUAUUCCCUGAUUCCUGUGACCUGGGAUAUCAAAUUGUAGUAGUAAGUAGUACAACCACUUCAUUAUCUUCUAUUCUUAAUCUCUAGAUUUUUCUUUUUUCAUGAAUUCUUAGUUAGCUUUUUACUUUUUUUCAUUUCAUUCAGGGAAUUCAACCCCAAAUUCUUGCACUGUUCUAGUAAACCUGUUGUUGUUUCUCUUGCAACAACGUGAGCAGUAGUAUUACUUCAUUAUUUUGUAUUCUUAGUCUCUGGGUUUUUCUUUUUUCACAAAAUCGUAGUUGGUUUUUUUUUUCAUUUGAUACUUACUGCAGGGAACUCAAUCCCAAGUUCUUGUAUUUUCUUCAACAUUCUGCUAGUAAAUUAGUUUUGUUUUUCCUGCAACAAUGCGAGUCCAUUAUCUUAAUUUUAUUCAGAAUUCAUUCUGUGGAUUCUCAAUUCUCAUGAAUCUGGCUCUACAGUCAUGCAUUUCUCUGUGAAACUGAGGCAGAAUAUGUUCAAUUAUUUAUAUGAUAUUCUAAAUUUAGUCCAGCAGUACUAUUGGCAUUGCCUAGAGAAUUGUUUAUAUGAUACUUGAAAUUUAGUCCAGCAGACUAUGAAGAAAUUUCAUCUGACAAAGAAGAAAAAGAACCGAUAAUUCAAGACCAUGAAGAACAUCGCGGGGAUUCAAUUUCGUCAGAUUAUGGAGAGUGUGUGGUUAGAGAAGCCAAACUUGAAGAAGUGUUUUAGUUGAGUAGGCAUCAUCAUGGUUGAAAACAGAAGGACUUUAUGAAGAUCCAUUACACGACCACUUCCUAAAGAAAUCAGCCAAGCAGGAGUUUAAUGUGAUAAUAAAGCGAACUUAAUUGAACUUAACAGGCCAAACCCGAUUUUAAGCACACUCUCGGAUGUGUUAACCCUUCAUGAGCAUUAUUGUAAGAAAGGAAGACGAGAAUGCCAUGCUGAAGAAUGUCAUUGGAACUCUUGAUUUUCAUGUCAAGCACCUGUUACACGAGGAGACUUAUCCUGAGGAACUUGCGAAGCCUGUGAAUCUGUUUAGAACCUUCGAGAAAAGAGUAUCACAGAAAUAUGGUAUAAUCUCAAAUGUAACUGUUGCCGAAAGUGCACGUCAACAAGGUGUUGGAAGCUGCAUGCUGAAAUUUGCAAUUGAAAGAGUUUGAAACUGCAAGAGACAGUAUAAAGCAGGUAUUCUUACAAGUCCGUCGGGAUAACAAACCAGCACUCACACUAUACAGAAAUAUGGGAUUUUGAUACUUGCAGAGGUGACUCCUUAUCUGGAAGAACAGAACCUAUACGUGUGCAGCAUAAAUCUAUAGCUAGAUUUUGCUCAAUCUUUAAAACUAACACAAAGGUUAUGUCGGGAAUGUAAAGUUCUGAUAGUAGUAUUCAAUAUUGAGACCUAGCAUAAGAAAAGCAGUAGAACCGUUCAUUUUAAAGUUCAUAUAGACAGGUUGAUAUCCUCAUAGAAAGGCAAUGUUCUGUGAAAUUCCUUCUUAAUGGUUUUUACUUGUCAAUUGUUAA